ACAGAUCGGCGCGGAGUAUUCACUUUGGUUGACGGUGUUUUUGGCUGCCAGCCUGAUGCAGUAGUUGGUCCACGGCUUCAGGUUGUUCUCUUUGUAAAAAUUACCUUCCACGAUUCUCACUCUAGGUUGCUGAUUGGCCUGCUGGUCUUUCUGUUCCUCGAUCACAACUUUGUACUCGGUUGCAUCCUUCACUGACGUCCAAUUCACAUACAAGGAAACUCCACUUACUUUUACUUUCAGCACUUUUGGGGUUUUUAGAUCUGUGAGAAAGAAGGGUUGCACUGUCCCGCAAAUCUCUUCUUCUGCGAGCUCCUGCUGGACCUAAGGAAGGGAUGCUCUCUCCAACUGCAUUGCUGGCCGUCACACCAGUAGCGUCAGGAUCGAAGUUGGUCAGCUGACAGGAGAGCCCGGUGGUGUGGCAAAGCUCAACUCGGUCUUGCCCCGACAAAUUGUAGACUUUGUAUCUGGUGGCAAACACUGACGCAUCCCAGGAAAGCUCGGCUAAGUCUGUGUCACCGGUGUACCGCACAUUCUGCGGAGCACAGGGGACUGGGAAAACAGCAGAACUGAAGUUAAAAUAACGACUGGGACGUUUCUUUAAAACACCUUCAUUUCACCCCUAUUUCACGUUUAUAUGCUGUUUACAAACAUAAAAUAAAUGGUCUAUACUGUAACACACUAUAAUUGUGUUGCAAAAUAGAUCAGUUUUA